GACGAACGCUGGCGGCGUGCUUAACACAUGCAAGUCGAACGGAAAGGCCCUGCUUUUGUGGGGUGCUCGAGUGGCGAACGGGUGAGUAACACGUGUGUAACCUGCCCUUGACUUUGGGAUAACUUCAGGAAACUGGGGCUAAUACCGGAUAGGAGCUCCUGCUGCAUGGUGGGGGUUGGAAAGUUUCGGCGUUUGGGGAUGGACUCGCGGCUUAUCAGCUUGUUGGUGGGGUAGUGGCUUACCAAGGCUUUGACGGGUAGCCGGCCUGAGAGGGUGACCGGCGACAUUGGGACUAAGAUACGGCCCAGUCUCCUACGGGAGGCAGCAGUGGGGAAUAUUGCACAGUGGGCGGAAGCCUGAUGCAGCAACGCCGCGUGCGGGAUGACGGCCUUCGGGUUAUGAACCGCUUUCGCCUGUGACGAAGCGUGAGUGACGGUAAUGGGUAAAGAAGCACCGGCUAACUACGUG
rnacentral:rRNA from 1 species